UGAGAAUGUGCCUUCGGGAACCGUGAGACAGGUGCUGCAUGGCUGUCGUCAGCUCGUGUUGUGAAAUGUUGGGUUAAGUCCCGCAACGAGCGCAACCCUUAUCCUUUGUUGCCAGCGGUCCGGCCGGGAACUCAAAGGAGACUGCCAGUGAUAAACUGGAGGAAGGUGGGGAUGACGUCAAGUCAUCAUGGCCCUUACGACCAGGGCUACACACGUGCUACAAUGGCGCAUACAAAGAGAAGCGACCUCGCGAGAGCAAGCGGACCUCAUAAAGUGCGUCGUAGUCCGGAUUGGAGUCUGCAACUCGACUCCAUGAAGUCGGAAUCGCUAGUAAUCGUGGAUCAGAAUGCCACGGUGAAUACGUUCCCGGGCCUUGUACACACCGCCCGUCACACCAUGGGAGUGGGUUGCAAAAGAAGUAGGUAGCUUAACC
rnacentral:rRNA from 1 species